AUGAGGGUGGAAUGUUUUGCUACGCUGAAGUUUUGACAUUCAUUUUUCCUUUCACUUUUGGUUUUUAUCUCUGAAGGAUAAAAGAAGGAUUUGAAGAAAUGCCCUCACACUUGGCAUAGAAAGGCACGUCAUGUCUUCUUGCAGAAGAUCACUCCAUCAGUGAGCCUGGGUCUGUUCCAGCCAUCUGGAAGAAGGUUCAUCUUGCAGCUGAGAUUUCCCGAAUGCUGGAGAAGUCGAGCUGUCAGUCACGAUGUUCACCUCAAGUGCUAGCUGGUCCUUUGGUUACCUGGGCCUUUGCAGCGGGACACCUUGAAGUAAAUGACUGUGACCUUGAGCUUAACUGGGGAUAGAGUGGGAAGACAGGGAAGUAAGGCAGAAAACUCGGUUGUCCCAGUGAUAGCCAGUCCUGCCGUGGCUCUGCACUGCAAGGAGUUCUUUCUGCUUUGAAGGUUUUAAGCCCUGCCACAUUGCAUAGCUAUGAUCACUGUGUAAUCAAAUCACAGUGAGAAAUAAGACAGAGCAAGCUCUCAGAGUCCACCCUGUUGUGAGAGCUGGCUCUGCUGGCUGCAGUGCCUCUGCCACUUUGCAUCAGUUUGAUGUCAGUGCACGCUUUGCUCUCCGAAAGCAGUGGAAAUCUUUCCAGUUAUUUUGGAUAAAGCUCCCAGCAAGCUGGAGCUGGUUAGCCACCCUUUGUAGUAAUUAGGAGUCAUUCCUUUUCCCUAGGCAGAAACAAGGUGCAGUGACAUUGAGAAGGAAAUCCUGCUGGGCCUGAAGGCCUUUCUGAAGGGCGAUGGGCUGCAGGUGCUAAAUUCUGCUCUUGGCUGUCCGCUUUGUCACCAUACAUGGAAAACAGUGAAAACAGAAAUUGGCCUUUUAUGCAGUUAUUCCCUGCUUGCCCCUUUGGGCCUGGUUCUGGCAGUGUGAUGGGUGAAACUGGAGAAGCAGCAUCAGGUUGCAGGAGUGAUUUUGACAGGUUGAAGGGCCAGAGCUGGUGCUGGGAGACACAGGGCAGCUCCAUUUGUCUUGGCAUUACUGAAGUCAAUGGGAUUUUGGCCAUAGUCUUCCACAGGGCUAGGAUUUCACUGUGCAUAGCUAAGAAAGCACUGUAUCAUACAGUUGUGUUGUCUGCCAUGACAUUUACUGCUAUUGGAAUGAGUAUGUCCCCCAUGUCCCUUGUCUCCUUGUCUCUAUCUUCAUAGAUCUUCACCUGUGUUUUUCUUUUUCUCACCUACUCUCUUGUCUGUUUCUAUCUAUCUAUCUAUCCAUCCAUCCAUCUACCUAUGUAUUUUUUUUUUAUUCUAUUUCACUGCUUGCUGCCCUCCCUUGCUGUCUCCUCAGCUCUCCCUCUCACGUACUCUGCAAGGAAUGUGCCUACAAGAGGUAUUUUUAUUUGGCAGCCUGAGUAAGCUUUCUGUUUUGGCUGCAGGUACUUAGAUAAGCAGCCAAUGGAGCUGAGAUCGCCUGUGUCACGUUUUAGCUCUUUCCAUCUGAUAGAGAUGACCUCACUGGCUGUGUUGGGGAGGUCUGGUUGCAAGGGCAAAGAAAUUAGAGUUAACCUUGAAAGAAGAAGCAGCACAGUGACACACAUAUGUUUUUGAUAUGAUUUGCUGCAUAAUGCAGAGGUAUAAGAAGAUUCAGACAUUAUUUCACUACAGAAGGUGUGCAAACAUAAAGAGGAAUCCAGAUACUGGGGUAGUUAAAGCUUUUUGCCCUGUGACUUCAGCAGUAAGACAGGCUGCCAAAGGGGCUUGGUUUGCUCCUGAAGAAUAUCCUCCUUGAAGCAAGUUAUUCUCUGACCUAAAGGUGAUAUAAGGUGUAUAUGGCCUUGGUCUCUUUGAUUAAAGAAAGGGAAGCUGUUGUGCGUCAGGGGUAUAGCUGAUCUGCUGUUUUGUGGCAUCAUAUCAGGCCACAGGUGCCCAGUAUAUAUCAGGAUAACUUGGUUCUGGAUUGCCAUGGAGGGGCUGAUCCCUCAUCACAGUACACCAUUACAAGACACCAGGAUGAAUCCUCCAGCACAGAAACAUAGAAAAACACUCCAGGAGCAUUUGUUAAAGCUUCCUUGUGCACUGAGAUUUGAAAGGGUCUGGGAUGACACUGACAGUCUGUUUGGGAGAACAUUUUUGAGACAGACUAUUUAAUCCUGCAAAACCAGUGAAGAAAGGAGGGGAAGUUGUGGUUUGAGCUGUUAUGAAACUGGGAACCAGGCAGGCUUGGGGAAAGGACCGGUCUGUAUUGCUUCAGUGGAUGAAGUCUGUGAAAGUCUACCCUAUUAUCACACAGCACCAGAUGGUAUCAAAGCUCUUGUUCCAGAGCAUUCAAGCACCUGGAUCUGUCACCCUUUCCAGAUUUGCAACGUCUGUUGCUGGGAAGAAGCAGUCCUGAGCAGAACUGGGAUGGUCAAGUUAUUUUAGUGGCAUGAUUGGGGGGAGUGAUGUGUAUGUGGCUUGGGUCACAAGGGUCCAUCUCACUUUUUGUUGGGUCACCCAUCACGCCUUGCAUGCAUGCAUCUGGAGACAUUAAGUCACCCUUCCUCCUUGGUGUGAGACGAAGGAAACCGUGACGCUUUUCCAGUAAGACGUGUGCGUGUGCAUACACAAAUGAGGCUAAUUCUGGUCUAUGCGGGUGCUAGCUCAGGCUGUGCAUCCUUGCACGUAGUAGCGAUGGGGCAGAUGGGGGUGUGUGCUAAGGCAGCCGAACUGCUAUGCUUUGACAGCUCUGGUGCACGUGUUAAAAUAACAUCAUCCUGGCUUGUUGUCUCUCCUCUUCCACCCUCUCCCCUCACUCAACAAAGUCUAAAGGGAACAAGCUCCAGGUAUUAAAAUAGCUCCUGUCUAGCUUGUUAAGUCUAUUUCAGGAGGUUGGUUCCAUCUUGACACAGAUAGAAUACAGAGAUGUUGUGGAAACCACAGCCACAAGAGGCCAUCGGCCAAAACUAAAUGAUUUCCCAGCUUACGCAGAGCAGUUUGUUCUCCCCCCGCCUCCCCCCAUCCCCUCUCCUGGCUUAAAAUAACAGCACGAAGCUGUUUGGCUUUGUUUUGCUGGAUUCUUGUGCUUGCUGUGCUCAGUCUGGUGGCGAUGGGAGAGAAAACCAGAGGGACUUUUGUGGUGUCAGAGGUUUGUUGCCUUCUGGAUUUAGGUGAGACCUCCAGAAGCAGCAGGAAAAUGAGAACCCCGUGGGUAUUUCUGGAAUGUGUUUUCAAGGAGUAAACAAGCAAUGGGUGUAAAUCACUGCUACUGCAUGGAUUUACCGGCUUAGACCAUGGAUUCGGUCUCCUGGCUUGUCUUAGAUUGACCAGAAGGGCACUGGAAAUCUUGAAAGAGAUUAGGGCAAAUGUCACUCAGGGAUAGCUAAACUCUGAUUAAGCCAGUCACAGGGAAGGAGUCAUUUUCUGGUUCCUGUGAUUCUUCUGUUGCUAAGCCAGGGCUUAUCCCUGCAGCUGCACUGCUUCACACCUGCUGAAGGUUUGGCCCAAAAUAUCCCUCAGCUGAGGAUCUAGCUGAUAAGACUGGUCUGAAAACACCAUGAAUAAGACACAUACAUUAACUUCCUCCCAGCUUCCACCUGUAUGCUUGGAGCGUCAAUGCUUUCUGCAUUUUCUCACCCUCAAGUUCAUAGGUCUUAUUCCAGCUCCUGCUUCUACCUGGGAUUAUCUCUUUCUUCUUAAAGGACAACAAGUAGUGCCUAGGCCUAUUCCACACUUGCCUCAGAAUUAGUGGGUUAGUAAAAACCUCCAUCUUUUGCUCCAGACUGCACCAGAACCAGUGAAUAUUUCCCAGCACCUCUGAUGGGUAGUGUGGGAGGGAGUGAGCAAACAGCUGUGUGGUGCUUAGCUGCCUGCUGGCUUCUAUCACAAUAUGAGGUCUCCAGAGUGCUUCUUUUUGAGUCGGUUCAGCAUUACAAAGGAUUUUUGUAUGGAAGCACAUGGCCCAGGUUGAUUGGUAGCCCCGUUUCCUCAUAUGAACCAGAAGACUUCUAUAUUAUGGGAAAGAAAUGCAAAUGCCUAGGAGACAGUGCAUCACAGUAUGCAAAUGUACUUGAAAGAGAGUAUUUUGAGCCAGGUCAACGACAUAACAUAUCGUCAUUCACACUGAAUUAUCUGAUCUAAAAUACAUGGGUCUGAUUUUCCUACUGGAAAAAUUAAAAACAAAUCUCUUGGGAAACAAAAACUGCUGAUGUUGGUAGAAAGUCUGUUUCCCUCAGAAAUAAAUUAUAGCAGAAAUUUCCUGACUAGAUCUAUUUUAACACAUGUAGUCUGUCUGUCUAUCUAUCUAUCCAUCUAUUUAUCUUUCUAUAUCUUUAAUUAAGGUUUAAUCAUUCUGCACUUAAGGACAGUUUGUACUUAGACUUUGGAUCAAGCCUGGAGUCAUCUGUAUGUGUCAAACUAUAAAAGUAUUUAUCAUACCCCUCUGUAUAGGCUAAUCCACAGACAUAACCCAGCAGAUUAUUGUCAGUAGCUGAGUAAUUACCUUAAUUUGAGCAAAAAGGUCAAUGGGACCAAAUGUUGCUGUAGCCAUGCGGUUGGAGUAUUACACACCCAUACAUGUUAUUAUUUGCUCAGUUUUCUUUUUCUUUUCUUGCACUGCUUUUUUUUUUUUUUUUUUUUCUUCCCCCCCCCCCACAAACCAUAAAAAUAAAGACGCUGUCUCUGGCUAGAAAUGUGAAUGGAAUAAAUUGUAAGUUCCUGAAAUGCUACAUGUCAAAUUAGCUCAUGUAAAAAUGCUUUCCACUUACAUAGCUUCUUCUAAACACUGCUAGGACAGCCUGCUCUCAUCGAGCCAGACAUGUGGAUCCCUAUUUCAGGAAACAUGGCACAGGAGGCAUAACCCAGCCGGGGCAGGGUGAAGUCAAUGAGGCCACCUAGAUGCGGGGAGGAGCUGCUCCAGUGAUCUCUCUCACAGCAGCUCUGGGCUCCCCAGGCUCUCUGUGGGGUCUCCCUUCAUAUCCCCACUUUGCACUGAGCGGCAGCAGCACUUGCUCCCCUGUGCAUGCCCAUGGCUUUGCAAAUAUUUCUCUUUGUUUGCUGUAAAUGGGGGAAGGACUGCCUGGGUGCUGAGGAGGAGGGGGUGCCCAGCUGAAUACAUCUUCACAAUUUGUAAUGUGCACUUUGGCAGUGAAGUGGGUGUUUUGAUGAACCUGCAGGAGACAAGUAGGGUGUCCUGGGGACCCUGUCACUCAUUGCUGUUGAUGAAGUGGCAUUUUUUCAACGAGCCUCUGAGAAAGAGGGGCUAUGCUGCAAAAUGUUUGAGAAAGAACAAAUCUUUCUGGAGACCUUUUUGAUCUGGCCAGCACUGAGGCACCACCCAGUGUUCCCCAGGGGAAAGAAGUCUCAGGUUGGCAGGCUGCUCACCUGCACCAUCAGAAGCAAAAAGGGAGAUGAGAGUCCUACCUGCAUCAGAUAACACCUCUAGCUGCAGGGAUAACAACCACUAUGGGACUCCUCUGCACUGCCAUUAGAAGCACCAGCCUACCCAUUCCUUCCUUGCUGUAUCCAUUGGUUUCCUCAGGCUGGUCUUGGGAAAAUGGGACAUGGCAGGCUCAGUUUUCAUCCAGUUGAGGCUUCUGCAACACAGCCUGUUCUCUCAUUAGGCACCAGCUGCUGUAAUGUUCUGUGAUGUCCCCCUCUUGAGACACCAACAGCUGGUCCCCAUGCCGAAAGCACCUGGGCAAGCACCCGAGCGCUGGUGGGACUGAUCCAUGUGGGAGAUGAGCGGAACAGAGAGCAUCAGAUUCUCCCUUUUCCAGAGGGGGAAUUGCAGUGUGGGCAGCUGAAAUUGUUUCCGAUGUGUCAAAGGGGAAAUGUGUGUCUCAGUGUCAUGAAGGGCCUCUGCAAUGGGAACUGACCACCUACCUUCCCAGUACCCGUCUCCUGAUUUCUCCAGAAGAUGUUUCUCCAGCCCAUGACACAUCUCUCUCCCUUUCCUGUCUUUGUUCCCUCAGCACUUGAUGCACUGAUGUGGGAGACCUUGAAAUGCUUGGUUGGGCUGGGUUACCUUUGCGUUCUGUCUCAGAAACACACACGUGCCCAGGAGGUUUCUCAGACCAUAUGAUGAUUAAAGUACUCACAGAGCUCGAUCCAGGCAGCUAUUUACUGGUUGCUUCUAAGGUUUGUGUGCAUUCUUGUAGCGCUAAUGGAUAGAAAAGUGAGAGCAUACCAUCGCUCUAAACUCUUUGUCUGCUGGACCUAGAACCCCAACUUCAGGCAGAGGGGAAUUAUAAUAAAGCCAUAGGUGAUGCAUUCUGACAUCCUAAAGAUAUAUUGUUGCUGACCUGGUAAAUCUGGUUGUGCUCAGUGAGGUAUGUGAAUUGCCGCUGUUAUCCUGGAUUCUUGACAGACUUUAUGACCAGAAGAGAAAUAUUGGAUUUACACUAUAAAAAUAAGGUAAAAAUAACACCAGGAAAAAAAAACAUUUGCACAAUAACCUGCACUCUACAUCUCACAAAUAAGUAAAUAAAUAACUCUUGGAACUAUGAUUGGGAAUAGUAUUUCACAAGGCUUGUGGAAAGGAUGGAAAGAGAAGCCAGAUGAGUUAAAACCCAAGGUGGCACCAUGCUGCUCUCUUCACUGAGGGGAAGCCAAAAAAUCAACUUUCAAGAACCAAAUCCUUGCACUGUCCAUUGGACAUUCUGCAAAAUGUGAUAUAUGCAGUGCUUGUUAAUGAUGCUUCUCUUUAUUUUUUUUUCUGUAAAAAUAUUUCUUUAAACAGUAAUAUAUUGCCUCAGAGACCUCAGCUUUGUAUCAUACAAGGAAUGAAGGGAGACUUAUAGAGAUGUCCUGAGGGUUUCUGGAAGCCAUAUGAAAGUAUGGCAUCUCAGAAAUAGCUCAGCUUUCUGAGAGACAACAUGCUACCAUUGGAUGUGCGUCUUCAGCUGUGCAAGAUAAAAAAGUAGAGAGUCACCAUCUACUACUACUAGGAUCCUUUUCAGAAGGACUCUCUUUAGAAAGCCCUUUAUGGGAUACCAAAAGGGGUUCCCACUUGGUUUUAGAUGCUCAUGACACCUGGAAGGCUCCAGCACAAGUGGGUCUAGCAGACAAUGUCUGGAUGUUCUUGCUUUCUCAAGGGCUCAAGUGACAGCAGCAAUAAAGACACAGCCUUCUUCAUGCCCCAGUUGUUUGUGUAAAGCUGGCUGUGGGCUGCUGCUCUCAGACCUCCUGCUGCAGGAUAGCUACAACCUAAGCCUACACUCUCUUUGCCACCCCUAGGUCUGGCUGUACUGCCCCAGCUCAUGUAGAUGUUUACCAAGUGCUGAUCUCUGCUGAAGUCAUUGCUCAAAUACCUGGACAGAUGUUGGACUGGGGUGAGACACUCCCUGAACAUAUGUGGGUUAUGGGUGAAAAGCGUGUCUUGCAUGGCCUUGCUUGUUACCAUCUUAUUGUCAACAGCGAAUCCUUUGUUAUCUUUUAAAAUAAAUAUUUCUCUUGGAUUUAAAUCUA